AUCCCUACGGGAGGCAGCAGUGGGGAAUAUUGGACAAUGGGGGGAACCCUGAUCCAGCGACGCCGCGUGAGUGAAGAAGUAUUUCGGUAUGUAAAGCUCUAUCAGCAGGGAAGAAAGAAAUGACGGUACCUGACUAAGAAGCCCCGGCUAACUACGUGCCAGCAGCCGCGGUAAUACGUAGGGGGCAAGCGUUGUCCGGAAUGACUGGGCGUAAAGGGAGUGUAGGCGGCUUAUCAAGUUAGAUGUGAAAUCCCGCGGCUUAACCGCGGAACUGCAUCUAAAACUGGUGAGCUGGAGUGCAGGAG
rnacentral:rRNA from 1 species